rnacentral:rRNA from 1 species
CCUACGGGAGGCUGCAGUGGGGAAUAUUGGGCAAUGGACGCAACUCUGACCCAGCAAUGCCGCGUGAAUGAUGAAGGUAAUUUUAUUGUAAAGCUCUUUUCUUUGGAACGAAUAAAUUACGGUACCUACGUAAUAAGCUCCAGCUAACUACGUGCCAGCAGCCGCGGUAAUACGUAGGGGGCAGGCGUUGUUCUGGAUGACUGGGCGUAAAGGGUUAGUAGGGGGUUUGGUAAGGUAGAUGGGUAAUACCCAGGGCUUAACUCGGGUGCUGCAUCUAAGACUGUUAGACUUGAGUACUGGAGAGGAGAGUGGAAUUCCUGGUGUAGCGGUGGAAUGCGUAGAUAUCAGGAGGAACACCAGUGGCGAAGGCGACCAUCUGGACAGCAACUGACACUGAGGCACGAAAGCGUGGGGAGCAAACAGGAUUAGAUACCCGAGUAGUC